ACCCAAUAAGGGUAUUUUUAGAAAACAUGUUCAAAUAACUCCACACGAAAGAAAAAAAAAUAAAAAAAUCAUACCUGAAUGUGGUAAGUAUGAGGUUAUUUUCUGUUACAGAUGCCACUUCCAAUAAGGAAAAUGUUCCACCCAUUGUGGGACAAGAAGUCGUGAUAGAUACCCAAGAUGGCGGUCGCAAAGACGACUCAAAUUUGACGCCAACGUCUGAACAAGACGAUCCUGAACACGAUGGGUUAGUAGAUAUUCUCAACUUGUUGGGAGAGGAUCCCACUGCUUCUAAAGAGAACGCAGUUAAGCUACAUCCAGAAAUUGUUAACCGUUGGAAAGAGAUUAUGAAAUUCGGCUUGCCAGAGGAGGCUAAAAAAGUUUUGCUAAAAAAAUUUCCUCGAACAGGGGAAUUGUACACUCAACCUCCAAAAAUCAACGUAGAAAUCAUACCAGCAAUGACUGAAAUUUCGAAGAAAAGAGAUCAACAUUUUACCGAUACACAGGAAUGUGUAGGUACAGCUAUUACAUCACUGGCGGCUGCAGUGUCACUUUUACUCGAGGAUCCAGAAGAAGGUGUGGAUCAAAUAAAAUUGAUUGAAUAUUUAAGUGACACAGGGAAACUGUUGAUCGACGUUUUCCGACAGCAUUCAAAAGCCAGAGCGUCCUUCAUUACUCCCAUAAUGAAGAAAAGUGUUAAGCCACUGGUGGACUCUCUGUCUCCAGGUGAAUGGCUUUUCGGUGAUAAGUUGGCUGAUCAGAUCAAGGAGGUAAAGACAGUUGAGAGUGCCUGCAACAGUCUUAAGGCGGUUCAUAAAGUUACCAAAAAACCUCUCCAACGCUCACAGGAAAACUGGAGAGGCCCAUCUGCCCAGUACCGGCAGACGGGCGGCUACUACAAGAAACUCUUCCUCCGAUUCAAGUCGAGGACACAAUAUCGAUCGAAUUAGACCAGUCGGGAGAAGAGUAAACCAUCGAAGGAGUCCAGCAAGAAGUAGAGGAAGUCCAAAACGCACCCUCUAGCGAGAACACUUUCAUUGGUGGCCGGGAGAUUAUCAGGA
rnacentral:misc_RNA from 1 species